rfam:Gossypium raimondii Chr02_contig_768, whole genome shotgun sequence.
CACGUCAGCGCGACCUGCUGACCUGGAAGGAAAUCGUGUUCUUGAGGAAGCGAUUUCCUUUCACGUUAGCAGGUCGCGCUGACGUGG